UGAAAGGAUUUAACGGCCCCAACCCAUCUUGUUGAACUCACGAGAAAUCCCCUGGCGCUGCAACGAUUUGGCUGUGAGACAGAGAAAUUCCUUGACGCCGGUGCGUGAAGUUUCGUUUCCAUGGUACAGCAUCUCUGAAAUUUUCCUCGGUGGAGUGAUCUGUGAAUGCGGUGAGAGCGAGAGUGAGAUGGCGUUCGGGGUUGUGAAGCUGGUGACGCCGCUGCAGGUCGGGAUUGUGGUGGCCAUUGUGUUAUCUCUGUCUGCUCGUCACAUGGGCCAGUAUAAUAAGCAUGUGGAGAGGUAUGGACCUCUGGCGGAAAUUCUCAUUGAGAGAAGAAUUCAUAACAACUUCAAGGGUAUAGAUGCAGACGGGAUCUCACCAAAGCUGGGUAAUCACUCCGGAGAUCUACAGAAGUAGAGCAGAUCAUCUGCAAAAGUCGUUGCUGAUGCAGGAUUUAGGGUUUGGAAAAUUUCGGUGAUGCGGUUGUAGUCCUCAGUGAAGUCAGUAGGUGACAGGAAAGAUUGCACCAGCGUUAUGGUCAAGAGGAUGAAGGGAAUGUGUACGGAGUCGUUUUGAAGCUCUAACCAAUUCAGAUAGCGAGUUGAAUUCAGCGCCAUCAGAUACAAUCACUUGCCGCUUCAAAACAUUUUUUGGUUUUAUUGAGCGGAACAGAGCAUUAGUGCCACUGUUCGUGCAUUGUUCUCUUUAUUGAUGCAUCUUAUGCAGCGUCCUUUAAAUACAGACAGCUCUUAUUGAUGACUCUUAUUGGCCUCUUAAGCAAGCAUUGACCAGGAGCAACUAACUCGUUUGCUAGAGGCAACUCUUGGUAUCACAGAUGGGUGUCCUUGUGUGAAAGUCAAGUACCCUAAACACCUUCUGUGAAUACCAAAAUCUCGCAAGCACUCUUUUUCUUUUUGUAGUCUCUUUCGGUCACCAAUUAGUCGUUAGCAGAGAAGUGGUGGGCCCUCUACCUUCAUCAACUUCGCCUUCAGCCUCAACACACUUGUGGUCGCUUUCACCAUCACUGUGCAGGGGUUCCGCAACCGAGUGUUAAAGUAAAAGCAUCAAGCGGGGAUUAGCAAAACUUGGCACAAGACUGUAGUGCGACAAUUGCCUCUGGACUACACAGUACUAUUUGCUGCAUAGCUGCUGCCAUUUAUGGUUACUCACAUAGUUUCUCCUUGGAAGGUUUAUUCAGCAAUAUUCGUUGCUUGAUAUUGAUUUUCCACUAA